UACGUAGGGUGCAAGCGUUAAUCGGAAUUACUGGGCGUAAAGCGUACGCAGGCGGUUUUGUAAGUCAGAUGUGAAAUCCCCGGGCUCAACCUGGGAACUGCAUUUGAGACUGCAAGGCUAGAGUGUGGCAGAGGGGGGUGGAAUUCCACGUGUAGCAGUGAAAUGCGUAGAGAUGUGGAGGAACACCGAUGGCGAAGGCAACCCCUGGGCCGAAUACUGACGCUCAUGCACGAAAGCGUGGGGA
rnacentral:rRNA from 1 species